AAGUCUUUUUGUUCAAAAGUAUGUGCCAAAACAAAUCAAUGUAAUUGAAAGUCGAUGAAUUAUUGUCCAUUAGAGCAUUGUAUGGAGUUGAUCAUUGUUUCUGUUUUCUUUUAAUGGUGUGAGGUUCUACAAGUAUCCAAGUAUGGAAGAGGAACCAGUAGACCGAAAAUGGAAGCACAAGUAUGAUUGAAGUAGAGGAGCUUCUGCCAUAUUCACAUGGAUAUACUGAGUUAACUUUUUCUGAAAGAUGAGGCAAUAAUGAUGACCCACAUUGAUCCCAUAUUCAUGGCUGCCAGAACUCCAAAUGUUAAGGUAGGUGUCGUGGGGGCUGGUACAGCAAGUGUAUUUGAGGAAGUACUGCAGUCAUCAAAGAAAUUCCUCAGUCUUGCCUUUGUGCCAUCAAAAGCUUCUGACCUUGACAGUAACAUAUAAAGACCAAGCAAAGGCAAAGAUCAUUUUGCCUUACUGGGGAAAGUUAUGGAAGUAAGGGAGAAGUCAGUCUAUGCAACAGAGAAGUCAGCAGAAGAGCAAAAAUCACAAACCUAGAUGCAGCUAGAGGAACAAUUGGAAAGAGGACAGUAUCUAGAUUAACUCGAAAAUUCCAUUUAACAGCAUGAGAAGCAUGCUAAGGCAUUGCAGAAGCUGUUAGAAGAAAGGAAUAAGCAUUUGGAUUCGGUUUCCAAGAGAGCAAGCUUGAACUUGAUGUUAGAUAAAUUGGAUUGCAGCUAUUGGAGAAUGACGCUCCUGCUGUUAAUGAUAGAGGCUUGCAACUGAAAAUGAGUGAGCAAUUCAUGAAGAAAAAGGCUAGAUUGGCAAAAGCUGUACAGAAGUUGGGAAGAUAAUCCGGAUGUCAGUUGUAUUGCACUGCAGGGCAGCGGCAAGGCAUUUUGUGCGGAUAGAGAUAUAGUGUCUAUCUUAGCAAGAAAAUCAAAAAGGACACAAGCCAAUGUUUCAUGGAAAAGGACACCCCUGAACUGAAAAAACAAAUGAUGAAAUCAAAAUGGCUGAAUUGGAAGCUAAACUUGGCAGUGAGAUGACCAAAAUUGAAGGCCUUAUUGGCAAGUCUUCCAAGCUACUAGCAUUUUGCUGAUCAAAUUUGAUAUGCUGAGCGUUGUUUCUUCCCAUGUUGCAGACAAGGAAAAAGGAUUGUGUUUCAAAUCUUUUUGAGCAUGGUACUGGUACCCAUGGCUUAUGAACUUUAAUAUGUAAAAGGUUUCCAGUAACCAUUUAUAGUUGUUCCAACAGUGAUUGUAAGUAAGAUUGUUCCAACAGUGAUUGUAAGUAAGAAUACUCAAUAUUCUUAUAAUUCCAAUUGAUCUCAUAUUUUAUAA